GAUGAACGCUAGCUACAGGCUUAACACAUGCAAGUCGAGGGACCGGCGCACGGGUGAGUAACACGUAUCCAACCUGCCCUUUACUCGGGGAUAGCCUUUCGAAAGAAAGUUUAAUACCCGAUAUAAAGGAUGGGGAUGCGUUCAAUUAGGUUGUUGGUGAGGUAACGGCACACCAAGCCUUCGCGGGAUAGGGGUUCUGAGAGGAAGGUCACCGACAUGGGAACGGAGCCACGGUCCAAACGCCUACGGGAGGCAGCAGUGAGUAAGAUGGGUAAAUGGGCGGGAGCCUGAACCAGCCAAGUAGUGUGAAGGAUGAAGGGUUAUGGGUCGUAAACUUCUUGUAUAUAAGAAUAUGUAUCAUAUGAAUAAGGAUCGGCUAACUCCGUGCCAGCAGCCGCGGUAAUUC
rnacentral:rRNA from 1 species